GAUGAACGCUAGCUACAGGCUUAACACAUGCAAGUCGAGGGGAAACGACAUCGAAAGCUUGCUUUUGAUGGGCGUCGACCGGCGCACGGGUGAGUAACGCGUAUCCAACCUGCCCACCACUUGGGGAUAACCUUGCGAAAGUAAGACUAAUACCCAAUGACGUCUCUAGAAGACAUCUGAAAGGGAUUAAAGAUUUAUCGGUGAUGGAUGGGGAUGCGUCUGAUUAGCUUGUUGGCGGGGUAACGGCCCACCAAGGCGACGAUCAGUAGGGGUUCUGAGAGGAAGGUCCCCCCACAUUGGAACUGAGACACGGUCCAAACUCCUACGGGAGGCAGCAGUGAGGAAUAUUGGUCAAUGGACGAGAGUCUGAACCAGCCAAGUAGCGUGCAGGAUGACGGCCCUAUGGGUUGUAAACUGCUUUUAUAAGGGAAUAAAGUUAGUCUCGUGAGACUUUUUGCAUGUACCUUAUGAAUAAGGACCGGCUAAUUCCGUG
rnacentral:rRNA from 1 species